GACGAACGCUGGCGGCGUGCUUAACACAUGCAAGUCGAGCGGUAAGGCCCUUUCGGGGGUACACGAGCGGCGAACGGGUGAGUAACACGUGGGUGACCUGCCCUCAGCUCUGGGAUAAGCCUGGGAAACCGGGUCUAAUACUGGAUAUGACUCCAUGACGCAUGUUGUGGGGUGGAAAGCCUUGUGCGGCUGAGGAUGGGCCCGCGGCCUAUCAGCUUGUUGGUGGGGUGANGGCCUACCAAGGCGACGACGGGUAGCCGGCCUGAGAGGGCGACCAGCCACACUGGGACUGAGACACGGCCCAGACUCCUACGGGAGGCAGCAGUGGGGAAUCUUGCGCAAUGGGCGAAAGCCUGACGCAGCGACGCCGCGUGAGGGAUGACGGCCU
rnacentral:rRNA from 1 species